rnacentral:rRNA from 1 species
UACGGAGGGGGCGAGUGUUGUUCGGAAUUACUGGGCGUAAAGGGAGCGUAGGCGGGCUGCCAAGUCCGGGGUGAAAUCCUCCAGCUUAACUGGAGAACUGCCUCGGAUACUGGAAGUCUCGAGGAGGGUAGGGGCAAGUGGAACCGUGGGUGGAGCGGUGAAAUGCGUUGAUAUCCAUGGGAACUCCGGUGGCGAAGGCGACUUGCUGGACCCUUUCUGACGCUGAGGCUCGAAAGCCAGGGGAGCAAACGGG